GGAGGGUGCGAGCGUUAUCCGGAAUUACUGGGUUUAAAGGGUGCGUAGGCGGCUAUGUAAGUCAGAUAGUGAAAGUUUGCGGCUCAACCGUAAAAUUGCUUUUGAUAUUGCAUGGCUAGAAUCAGGAUGAGGUCAGCGGAAUGUGGCAUGUAGCGGUGAAAUGCAUAGAUAUGCCAUAGAACACCAAUUGCGAAGGCAGCUGGCUAGACCUGUAUUGACGCUGAGGCACGAAAGCGUGGGGAUCGAACAGGAUUAGAUACCCUGGUAGUCCACGCCCUAAACGAUGCUCACUCGACGUAUGGCACUAGAUGUUGUGCGUCCAAGGGAAACCGUUAAGUGAGCCACCUGGGGAGUACGACCGCAANGGGG
rnacentral:rRNA from 1 species